CCUACGGGAGGCAGCAGUCGAGAAUCAUUCACAAUGGGGGAAACCCUGAUGGUGCGACGCCGCGUGGGGGAAUGAAGGUCUUCGGAUUGUAAACCCCUGUCAUGUGGGAGCAAAUUAAAAAGAUAGUACCACAAGAGGAAGAGACGGCUAACUCUGUGCCAGUAGCCGCGGUACUACAGAGGUCUCAAGCGUUGUUCGGAAUCACUGGGCGUAAAGCGUGCGUAGGCUGUUUCGUAAGUCGUGUGUGAAAGGCGCGGGCUCAACCCGCGGACGGAACAUGAUACUGCGAGACUAGAGUAAUGGAGGGGGAACCGGAAUUCUCGGUGUAGCAGUGAAAUGCGUAGAUAUCGAGAGGAACACUCGUGGCGAAGGCGGGUUCCUGGACAUUAACUGACGCUGAGGCACGAAGGCCAGGGGAGCGAAAGGGAUUAGAUACCCUUGUAGUC
rnacentral:rRNA from 1 species